GCUAAACGCGAAGAACCUUACCUGGGCUUGAACUGUCGGUAUAGGGACCCGAAAGGGCGACGAUCCCGGGCAACCGGGAAGCCGAUAGAGGUGCUGCAUGGCUGUCGUCAGCUCGUGUCGUGAGAUGUUGGGUUAAGUCCCGCAACGAGCGCAACCCCCUGUGUUUAGUUGCCAGCGAGUCAUGUCGGGCACUCUAAGCAGACUGCCUCGGAUAACGGGGAGGAAGGUGGGGAUGACGUCAAGUCAGCAUGGCCUUUAUGUCCAGGGCCACACACGUGCUACAAUGGGCGGUACAGAGGGAUGCAAAUCCGCAAGGUAGAGCUAAUCCCUAAAACCGUUCUCAGUUCAGAUUGGAGGCUGCAACUCGCCUCCAUGAAGGCGGAAUCGCUAGUAAUCGCGGAUCAGCUACGCCGCGGUGAAUACGUUCUCGGGUCUUGUACACACCG
rnacentral:rRNA from 1 species